UAUUAAAGGUCCCGCCUGCCCAGUGACUCUUUAAACGGCCGCGGUAUCCUAACCGUGCAAAGGUAGCAUAAUCACUUGUCCCCUAAAUAGGGACUGGUAUGAAUGGCUAAAUGAGGACUAAACUGUCUCUUGCGGACUGGCCAAUGAAAUUGAUUUUCCAGUACAAAAGCUGGAAUGUACUCAUAAGACGAGAAGACCCUGUGGAGCUUCAAAACCAAAUCACCCAGCAUGUUCAUUGGAUUUUUAGUUGGGGCGACUUCGGAAUAUAGUAAAACUUCCAAAAUAAAUUAAUUCCAUCAAGAUUAACACACCAAAAUUUCUUUAUAGAUCCAGCAAAUAAUUUUAUUUAUCUGAUCAAUGAACCAAGUUACCCCAGGGAUAACAGCGCAAUCUCCUUUUAGAGUCCAUAUCGACAAGGGGGUUUACGACCUCGAUGUUGGAUCAGGACACCCCAAUGGUGCAGCCGCCAUUAAAGGUUCGUUUGUUCAACGAUUAACAGUCCUACGUGAUCUGAGUUCAGACCGGA
rnacentral:rRNA from 1 species